AGUGAGAGAGAGAGAGAGAGAGAGAGAGAGAGAGAGGGAGAGAGAGGGAGAGAGAGAGAGGGGGGGAGAGAAUGUGCGUGUGUGAGUUUGUUCGCGUGUAAAUGUUCGAAAACCGAUCAAUGUUAAACAUAUCUCAAAUUAAUACCUCAUAACGAUAAUAUCAUAAAUUAAGGAAUACCGAUAUCAAUAUUUAAAAAACAAGAAUAUUAAUUAAAAUAACAAUUGGGAUGUUUAUACUAUUGAUGUGUAUAUAUAUACUAUUGAUGUAUAUAUAUAUAUAUAAAUUCUCUUUUAUACUUUAUAUAGGAAUAAACACAAUCAUUUUAUUACCUCAGACAUAUUAUCUCGUCCGUGAUAAGAAUUUUAAAUAGGAAUAUUAAUCAAACGACAACACGUUACUCAUGAAAUAUAUUUAUAAAUAGAAAUAAAAUAAAUUAAUAAUCAAAUCUUGUAGAUGGAAAAAAAAGAAAAGAAAGAAAAAAACAAAAAUGACAAGAAAGAAAGCAUAGAAAAAUUAACGAUAGGCUCGUCACAUAAAGAUCUAAUUAUAAUGCGUGUCGCAUAAUUAAUUUAUUUCUAAUUUAUCGUGCGAUUUAAUUUCUUUUGAUUCUUAGGAUUGAUUUAUUUCUUUUUUUUUCUUUUUUCUUUUUUUUUUUUUUAUUAAACGCUUUAUGAAAUUUUUAUUAGCCCUUACUAAUAUAUAUAAUCGUCAUUCGUCAUAAAUAUCGCCGAUAUAGGUGUACCUACUUACCUGUGUAAUUAAAAUUCAGUAAAAACAAGUCUUCGACUUAAGUUACGAUUUAUUAUAUCUUUUAUAAAUUUUUUUUUUUUUUCUAUAUAUAGACGGACAAGAUGAUUCGCUAAAUCUAUUAAAAAUAAUUCUCGAUAUAAUGAUGUUUUUUGAAUCGUUUUUCUUUUUCUUUUUUUCUUUCGUUUUUCACAUCAUCCCUUCAGUCGUAAGUCCGAUAUGAUUUUCUCUUUGAUGAUCUCACGAGAGUGUGAUAGCGAAUCUCAACAAACAAUAAUUUUUUUAAAUAAAAAAAUAUAUAUUGUAUUAAAUCGUCUGCAAUUGACUGCAAUUAAAUUGUCUGCAACUUCUCGCCUUUACAUGUAUUAAAAAAAAAGAAAAAGACAAACAAAAUAGAAGAUUUCGAACAAAAUCUAUACUAAAUAAAUAUUUGAGUUUACUUUAUAGUUUAAUUAACGUCCUAUCACAUUCUCCAGACUUUUACAGAAGUCUAGUAAAUUUAUUUCGCAUUUAAUAAGAAGAAUUCUUUCGAACUACUCAGAUCUGAGAAUUAGCGAAUCACCCUGUAUAUAUGAGUUAUUCGUAUUCGUAUGUUGUACUAGCAUACAUCUCGACGCCCUCUUAAUCGAUACACUGCCUCUCCGUUAUAAACGUCGUGAACGUUUGCCGGAGCAACGGCUAAGUAUUAACUUGUGCCGAGAAAAUAUUUUCAAAAGGAAAAAGAAUUAUAUUACUUUUCUAUUUCGUCGACACACGACGAAAUAAUAAGCGAAAGAAAUGUAAAAAAAAAAAAAAAAAAGAAAGAAAAAAAGAUAUGUUCUAUUAGAGGAUAAACCAAAGUCUUCCUUCGAUUUGGAAUGAUGGUAUCUCUAAAAUAAAAAUUAAAAUAAAAAAAAGUUAAAAAAAAGAAAUAAAAGAAAAUGCAAAAAAGAAUAGAUUAACAACGUUUACGCAAUCAUAUCAUAUUUCCAUAAUUCUCUAUGAAGAAAAAUAAAAAUAUUUUAUCUAAAGGAAUGUAAGAGAUAAAUCUAAAGCAGAUGAUCGGUUUGCGAUUGACUUGGGUUACGAAGAAUGUCUGAUGGUUGAAAGUUCCUUCGUUCGUUCGUUUCUUAAUAAAAAAUUAAAAUGACUGUUCGAUCGUCCUUACAUAAAAAAGACAUUUACUUCUCGUGUAUAUAUAAAUGUAAUCACACAUUUUCUCUUUCACACGAUUCAAAUAAAGUAUGUUUACGUGUAUAAAGAAA